GCUUCCCCACUCCCCCGGAGGGAAGGCGCAGGGGAAGUGGGGCAGCCGGCAGAGAGGGGGCCUGGGAACACAGGACUUUGUUUCAGUUCCCUCUGCCUCCCCCAGGCCGUGUGGGCAUCUCUUGCCUGCGGGCACAAGGGAUUACUCAGCCACCCGCCCACUGCCCUCCAGGAAGCAGUCAGCAGGGCCUUAAGCCCAAUAGGGCCAAGGGGAGCGUCGGGGGCAUUUCCAGGCAGCAAGACCCACUCUUGCGAGCUCACAGGGAGCAUCGGGCCCUUCUUUGGCCUCCUUCACAGAAUGAGGACUCAGAGGGCUCCGGGUGGGUGGAGACAGAAGCGGUGGGUGAGGGCAGAGCUGAACCUGCUCAUGCCCAUGGAGAGUUGGUGCUGAGUGCCCUGGGGUGUUCUGCAUGUGGGCAAAUGUGCACGCACAUACACGCGCUCCCUGGCUCCACUUUCUCCCGCCCCUCCAGGCUGUUUUGUGAGUGCAGGGUCUUCCCUGGCAGCACCAUGCCUGCCCACAGCCAGCUUCUUCUGCCUCAUCCCAAGGCUGGGGAAGGGGAAGGGAGCCCUAGGCACCCAGGGAAUGGAGGGGCAAGAGGGGAGCCCAGAGUGGGGGUGCAAGAGGACAAAAAGGGGCUCCCAGUUUGGGGUGUCCAAGGGGGCUUUUUGACCCAGAGCACGGUGCUACGGCGUCCAUCCCUCCGCGUCUUGGCUGCUGGACUGGACCAGAAACAGCCAAGCUCUGCCACUGCCCAGGACUGGAUGGAAUCAGGUUUGCCUGUGCCUGUGGGGUCCUUGGGGGCUCUCAGGGAGGGCUGCAAAUGCAUCGGGAGGAGCUGUGUGUAUGUGUGUGUUGGAAUCUGGGUGCAGAGCUGCGAAUAUGACUUCUGGGGGGACCACCGGAGGGACCACAUGAGCUGCAUGGGGGUUGUGGGUACAGAGGGGUGUCAGCUGAACAGUGGUGGGAGGUGCAGUCAUGUGAGCAGUGGAAGAGUUGGGGGCCCAGAGGGGAUGAAGGUAGAAUAAGGCUGGGAUGACUCAGCCCCUGGACCCAGCUCCUGCCCAGGGCUAGCGAGGGUGUAGCCAAGGCUGGGGGCAGCUCCUUGUCUCUGGUUUGAGUUUGUGGGGACUCCUGACAUUUGAGUUGCUGCGACACAGCUCUUCUGUGCCCAUGCCUGACUGGGGGGAGUGGAGGGCUGAGGCUGGAGGAGGAGCAGCUCCCCAGCUGGGUCCAAUUAGGACUCCCACCAAAGCAAAACAGGCAGACACACCCCAGUCCCCACACUCCACCUCCCCUUGCGGGGGGGAGUUGAGGCAGGGUGGGGUGGAAGGUCAGGAGACCUGGAGCUGGUCGGCUCCUCGCAGCACCCCUCCCUGCCCAGCUGACUGCUUCGGGCCAAAUUGCAGCUCAGCAGCUGCCGCCUGGGCCAUCAGCUGACAGCGCCUUCCUUCCCUGACCUCCCCGCCCACCUCGUGCUCGGUGAGAACUGCUCUCUUGGAGGAUGGGUAGGGCAGGAGGUCCCCCACGACCCGUAGUCAGAGGUUGCUUACCCUUGGUGCCCCCAUCUGCCCCUUCUCAACCCUGCCCCUUGUGUCGCCCCCCACCACAGGAACCUCCAGGGAAGGGUGGUCCGAGUCCUUCUCUUGGCAGCCAGGUCAGGAGACUUAGGGAGGACUUACAAGGAAGAGGGCAGCAUCUGGGGACUGGUCCCCCAUGUAGCAGAGAGCGGAGGGGUCCUCCCAGAAUUCAGACCUCCCCUCCAGGCAGGCAGCCAGCCCCGGGAGCGGGGAGAGGCCCCUGGAGCGGGAGAGGGGAGGCGGCUCUGCUGGGGUGGGCACUGGCCUCCCUGCUCUGAACACUGCCCUGACCUUGGGUGCCUGGCCCUAAGAGCUUUCCCAGGUAUUUCUCAGCGACAAGGCCACGUGGACAAGGACAGCUUUUCUUGAAUUUCGCUUUUUCUGGUUAUGUAAGUGAACAUCACAUAAGAAGAAACAAUCAUACUACAGAAGGUUUUUCUUCACCUUUUUGGUAGCCUGUUUAAAAAACAAAACUUUUAUAUGCUUCAUUCAGGACAUAGGCAUGGGCAAAGACUUCAAGACUAAAACACCAAAAGCAAUGGCAACAAAAGCCAAUAUUGACAAAUGGAAUCUAAUUAAGCUAAAGAGCUUCUGCACUGCAAAAGAACCUAUCAUCAGAGUGAACAGGUAACCUACAGAAUGGGAGAAAAUUUUUGCAAUCUAUCCAUCUGACAAAGGGCUAAUAUCCAGAAUCUAUAAUGAACUUAAACAAAUUUACAAGAAAAAAACAAACAACCCCAUCAAAAAGUGGGCAAAGGAUAUGAACAGACACUUCUCAAAAGAAGACAUUUAUGCGGCCAACAAAUAUAUGAAAAAAAGCUCAUCAUCACUGGUCAUUAGAGAAAUGCAAAUCAAAACCACAAUGAGAUACCCUCUCAUGCCAGUUAGAAUGGCGAUCAUUAAAAAGUCAGGAAACAACAGAUGCUGGAGAGGAUGUGGAGAAAUAGGAAUGCUUUUACACUGUUGGUGGGAGUGUAAAUUAGUUCAACCACUGUGGAAGACAGUGGGGUGAUUCCUCAAGGAUUAGAACCAGAAAUACCAUCUGACCCAGCAAUCCCAUUAUCGCGUAUAUACUCAAAGGAUUAUAAAUCAUUCUACUAUAAAGACACAUGCACACGUAUGUCUACUGCAGCACUAUUCACAAUAGUAAAGACUUGGAACCAACCCAAAUGUCCAUCAGUGAUAGACUGGAUAGAGAAAAUGUGGCACAUAUACACCAUGGAAUACUAUGGAGCCAAAAAAAAGGAUGAGUUCAUGUCUUUGCAGGGACAUGGAUGAAGCUGGAAACCAUCACUCUCAACAAACUAACACAGGAACAGAAAACCAAACACCACAUGUUCUCACUCAUAAGUGGGAGUUGAACAAUGAGAACACAGGGAGGGGAACAUCAUACACUGGGGCCUAUUGGUAGGUGGGGGGCUAGGGGAGGGAUAGCAUUAGGAGAAGUACCUAAUGUAGAUGACAGGUUGAUGGAUGCAGCAAACCACCAUGGCACAUGUAUACCUAUGUAACAAACCUGCAUGUUCUGUACAUGUAUACCAGAAUUUAAAACAUUAAAAAAAAAAAAAGAACACAAAA